UACAUAGGUCCCAAGCGUUGUUCGGAUUCACUGGGCGUAAAGGGUGCGUAGGUGGUCGGGUAAGUUUAAGGUGAAAGCUCCGGGCUCAACCCGGAAAUGGCCUUGAAUACUAUCCGGCUCGAGGGUUGGAGGGGGGACUGGAAUUCUCGGUGUAGCAGUGAAAUGCGUAGAUAUCGAGAGGAACACCAGUGGCGAAGGCGAGUCCCUGGACAACACCUGACACUGAGGCACGAAAGCUAGGGGAGCAAACGGG
rnacentral:rRNA from 1 species